AUUGAACGCUGGCGGCAGGCCUAACACAUGCAAGUCGAACGAGUGGCGGACGGGUGAGUAAUGUCUGGGAAACUGCACGAUGGCGGGGGAUAAAUACUGGAAACGGUAGCUAAUACCGCAUACCAUCGGAUGUGCCCAGAUGGGAUUAGAUAGUAGGUGGGGGAACGGCUCACAUAGGCGACGAUCCCUAGCUGGGCUGAGAGGAGGACCAGCCACACUGGAACUGAGACACGGUCCAGACUCCUACGGGAGGCAGCAGUGGGGAAUAUUGCACAAUGGGCGAAAGCCUGAUGCAGCCAGGCCGCGGGUAUGAAGAAGGCCUUCGGGUUGUAAAGUACUUUCAGCGAGGAGGCGUUACUCGCAGAAGAAGCACCGGCUAACGCCGUGCCAGCAGCCGCGGUAAUUC
rnacentral:rRNA from 1 species